rnacentral:lncRNA from 10 species
UCAUCUGUACUACAUAUGUACUAUUGCAUCUACUUUAAUAAAUGCCUACCAUAAAUGUUGCAAGCUGACUUCAUCAGCAAGUAUGGACUGAGCAGGGUAAGGAGGCUGGGAAUUGAGGUUCCAGCUCUACUAUAGGCUUUCUGAGUGGCUGGGACACCUCCAUUUCUCUCACUGGGCCUCAUCCGCAAAAUGAGACAUGGGGUGAGAUUAACACUACGCUCUUCCCUUAACAACCUCAGGCUCUCUGAUACUGUCCACUGCAACACAGAUCUCAAACACCGGUUUACCCCACACCCAAAUAUGGUGGUUACUUCUAGACUUUGACCAUUUUGCUUGCCUAGUUCUCAGCUCUCCGGUAAGAAAAGACAGCCAUGCCUGACUUCUGUUGUGAAAGGGAACACAGAGGGCAUCGUCAUGGGGAUUCCGAAAAUGGGUCCAGUUUUGGCCAGGGGGACCCCUGGAGCUUGCCCAUUGGACUUGGAGCUAAAAGCAUCUUAGCAACUAAGACAGCCGGUCUUUAUAGCCUGGAUGAAAUUUGUAUCUAUUUCCCAGAUGGACAAGAGCCUAGAAGAUCCCAGCCUUGCCACUGGGUAUGAGCACAGGACAGGGGGACGCUCAAUGCUAAGGCUGCCAGAGAAAAUACAGGACUUCCGGUUAAAUUUGAAUUUCAAAUAAACAAGUAAUUUUUAAAGUAUAA